rnacentral:rRNA from 1 species
CGCAUCUGUGCAUGCAGCAUAUCAAUAAGCGGAGGAAAAGAAACUAACAAGGAUUCCCCUAGUAACGGCGAGUGAAGCGGGAAGAGCUCAAAUUUGAAAUCUUAAAGGGCUUCCCUUUACGAAUUGUAGUUUAAAGAAGUGUUUUCUGUUGAGGUUUUGGUAAAAGUUCUUUGGAAUAGGACAUCAUAGAGGGUGAGAAUCCCGUAUUUGACCUUUACUUUCAACUUUGUGAUACACUUUCAAAGAGUCGGAUUGUUUGGGAAUGCAGUCCAAAAUGGGUGGUAAAUUUCAUCUAAAGCUAAAUAUUGGCGAGAGACCGAUAGCGAACAAGUACCGUGAGGGAAAGAUGAAAAGAACUUUGAAAAGAGAGUUAAACAGUACGUGAAAUUGUCAAAAGGGAAGCGUUUGACACCAGUGUUGUUUUUCUGAAAAUCAAUUAAAGAACUGUUUAUGCUAAGCUGUUUAGACUUUAUCAGCUAACUGUUUAGUUUUGAGCCUUUUCUUUAAUGCACUUUUCAGUUAACAAGUCAACAUCAAUUUCUUUUGCUGUAAAAAAGCUUGAGGAAGGUGGCUUGAGAUUCGUCUUAAGUGUUUAUAGCCUCUUGCCUAUGCAGUCGGAGAGAUUGAGGUCUGCAGCGUAGAUCCUUCGGGGCUAAAUGCAUUUGUGCUAAGUUAUAGCAUUUUAUAGACAACUUGUUGACUAUGAUUUGUCUUGUAGCUUACUCGCUUAUGUUAUUUUACCUACGCUUAGGAUGUUGAAUCUGUGCGAGACUAC